rnacentral:rRNA from 1 species
UACGGGGGGGGGCAAGCGUUGUUCGGAAUUACUGGGCGUAAAGGGCUCGUAGGCGGCCAACUAAGUCAGACGUGAAAUCCCUCGGCUUAACCGGGGAACUGCAUCUGAUACUGGAUGGCUUGAGAUUGGGAGAGGGAUGCGGAAUUCCAGGUGUAGCGGUGAAAUGCGUAGAUAUCUGGAGGAACACCGGUGGCGAAGGCGGCAUCCUGGACCAACACUGACGCUGAGGAGCGAAAGCAUGGGGGAGCGAACAGG